ensembl:lncRNA
CUGUACUAACCUGUCACACACUGAAGACCUAUAGGUUCACCACUGUACUAACCUGUCACACACUGAAGACCUAUAGGUUCACCACUGUACUAACCUGUCACACUGAAGACCUAUAGGUUCACCACUGUACUAACCUGUCACACACUGAAGACCUAUAGGUUCACCACUGUCACACACUGAAGGCCUAUAGGUUCACCACUGUACUAACCUGUCACACACUGAAGGUCUAUAGGUUCACCACUGUACUAACCUGUCACACACUGAAGACCUAUAGGUUCACCACUGUACUAACCUGUCACACACUGAAGGUCU